rnacentral:rRNA from 1 species
GACAGGUGGUGCGAUGGUUGUCGUCAGCUCGUGUCGUGAGAUGUUGGGUUAAGUCCCGCAACGAGCGCAACCCCUACUUGUUAGUUGCCAUCAUUCAGUUGGGCGCGUCUAGCGAGACUGCAGGGUAAUAAACCGGGAGGAAGGUGGGGAUGACGUCAAAUCAUCAUGCCCCUUAUGACCUGGGCUACACACGUGCUACAAUGGUUGGUACAACGAGUUGCGAGUCGGUGACGGCGAGCUAAUCUCUUAAAGCCAAUCUCAGUUCGGAUUGUAGGCUGCAACUCGCCUACAUAAAGUCGGAAUCGCUAGUAAUCGCGGAUCAGCACGCCGCGGUCGAAUACGUUCCCGGGCCUU